rnacentral:lncRNA from 1 species
AACUGAUGCCCCAGUGAUUCUGCUGCCUCUGCCAGAGUCAGAAAACUGUGGAUGUGGGAAGCUGCCCGUGGAGUCAGGAAGUCAUCCCUACUGAUGGAGCCUCUGCAGCCACCUUGGUCCUGGUCCACACCAGCAAUGUUGAUGCUGCCCUGCAGCCUGCCUAUCCCCUGGCUUAAUUCCGGCUCCAUGCAUGUGACGAGCAGAAAAAAGAAAGUCGCAUCUGGACCUCCGGCGGCAAGGGAGUCUGAGAAAGAUAGAUCUGUGCAUGGUCAUCUUAACCCUCCUGGGCUUUAAUAACUGCAUUCUGUGGAAAGAGACACUGGCGCUGUGCUGUUGGCUCUAGGUUGUGAGCUGGGGCCCUGGCUGUGAGCCCUUGGAGGAAUCCCUUUACCUCUCUAUUCCAGGUUAUUCAUGUUUAAAAUGAAGUUCCUUAACUGCUCUCAGUUCUUCCCAGAAUUCAUGUAAUGAGUUCUAAGUGUCAGUUCUGCUAGGUCUAGGGAGAGGGAUGAAGCCUCUACAUGAGCCAGCCUGUGUUGGUUGGGGCAGAGCCUAGAGAUCCCUGGUUCAGUGAGGCUCCUGCACUAGGGAAGGGACCUCUGAGCUCCUCUUCUCGUGCCAAGCCCAUCUCCGCUCAUCCCAUGCUGACUGCAAGAAUGGUGUUUGCUCAAUGGUCAGGGAAGUGGUGCCCAAGAGCAGGAACCUGGCUUCACUCUGUCUCUCCUCUGGGCAUCAAAGAGGCAGUACCUGCUAGGACCGUCUCUUCCUUUCUAAAAUCAGGAAGUAACAAAAGGCAGGCUGGGAUUGCCCAUAGAUACAGCUCCGUCUUUCUCUCUCUCUCCUGAAACAGCCUGCAGACAUUCCUGAGUUCUUGUGCUGAGAUUAGGUUCAUUGUCAAACCCAAACCCAUUUGUUUUAAAGCCAGUUGUGCAAAAAUAUAUUAAAAAGCAAACAUGCGCAAACCAGAAGCCAGGGUCGGGGUUAUUGAGUGUAGCUUCGAUAUUAAUAACAUGAAAUAGAGUUCCCAGUCUCCCAAUUUCCCAUCUGAAUGGAGCUCUUUCAAAGCCCAGGAAGGCAGAUGGGAUGCACAGGGCAGGAUGGGCCCCUUCCAGGGUUUCUCAGUCCAAUGCCAUCACAGAGGAACUUGAAUGUUAUUUCUGGCAGUGUGGACUGGCUUCACACAGAGAUGAGGUGGCAGACGAUGAGGGACUUCCUGGCCAUAUUAAUGUGUAGAAUGCCUCUAAGCCACACAGGUACAAAGUGAGGGUGGAAACAUUAUUUCUAGCCCUUGGAACUGAUAGAAAAAUACUCCUGACAAAGAAUACAGGGAAUACUGCUGGUGGGACUCAGUAUAAGGUCACUUUGCUGGAAAGUAACAGAGAAUAAAUAAAAUUGAUUGAGUGCCUAUUAUGUGCUUGAAAUCACUUUACAUGCUGGGGCCACAGCAGUUGUCAAAAUUGUUGGAAAUCUCUGCCCUCAUGGAGCUCAGAGUCUAGGGGAUUUUUAAAAAUCACAGGCUGGGCAGAUACUGAAGCUGGCUUUGGGGCCAUUCGGAACUAAAGACUUGAAUUCUAACAAGAUUUCUGUGAUUCAGUUUCUUGCUGUGUCUUGGAGUCAUUUCCUCCAAGCACCUUCUGUCUCUACCUCUGUCAAGAAGAGGACAAAAUAGCCACCAUCCACAUUCUUGUCCCCAGACUGAUGAAGAAGAUGAUAAAAGGGAGGCUUUAGUUGGUAAGCAGAAAGGCACCAUGUAAGUGACAGGCUUACAUCUUGUAUGAAAUCAAGUGGGCAAGAAAGCUUCUGCUCAGGUGGGUACAGCCCCAAGGAGGCUGAUAGGUGAGCACUCUUAGGAACAUGGGCUUGCAGACUUCCCAGUGAAUGCUUCCUUGGGCUGUCAUUUGAACCUAAGAAGAAAGCACAGUUCAAGAAAGAUGAACACAUGUAGCCAACCUGAACUGAAACCAAGAAGGAAAGGAUCAGUCAAAUAGCUGUCUCCUCUGGGCUUGGCUGCCUGUCCUUGGAGAUAAUACUGGCACGUAGCAAGAACUUCCACCUGCAGCAUCCACAGCACAUCUCCAUGGGCCUUAGCAAGAUGCUAUGCAACACGGCUCUUUUCCAGUAUCCUAAUUUUCUGUUCAUAACAUGUUGGGUCUUUGGGAAUCACCAUUAUAAUCAUCAUAAUGUGUUGGGUCUUUGGGAAUUACUGUCAUGAUCAUCAUCAUCACCACCACCACCACCACCAACAUCAGUUUUCCUGGUCUCAUCUUCAUGAUCCUGUUUCAUUUCUUACUACUUCAAACAUUCUUUUUUCCUUCCCUAUGCCUGGAACAUCCUCUGCUCAUUUCUAAUCCCAGAUCUUUGCUUCAGCUGUGGCUCCCUGCACUCCCUGCCUGGGGAAUGCCCCAUGUACCCCCUUUUUCUUGCUAAAAUAUUACACACCUUCAAGACCAUCUCAAGCCCCCCCUUUCAGGAAGCUCUCCUCUAUCUACUCAUGCCCUCCGGUACCUGAGUAUUUGCACAAUAUUAGAACUUAAACAUUCAUCAUUUUAGUCUACAUUCCAGCAACUCUGUAAGGUUGGAAUCAUUUCCUCCAUUUUAUCGAUGAGAUAACAGGUUCAGAGAGGCCGGGUAUUGCCCCAGGAGGAAGGAGCUGGAGCCCCCACAGCUGUGUCUAUUCUACUCUGCCUUGGUGUGCUUGCUUUCCCAGGAGCACACCAGAUGUUGAGAGCAGUAGUUCUCAAACUUCAGGGUGCAUGUACAUUACCAGGGACUGUUUGGCAGACGUUCUGGGGUGGGGAACAAACAUCUGUGUGUGGUUCACCAACGGUCCCUGGUGACUAUGGUUUUAUGGCUGGUCCUGUAGCCAUUUGAGAACCGUUGCCUUCAGAGGUGCACGUAGUCCCAUAACUGAAGAUGUGGCUCCCUGAGGCUCCUGGGAAGCCAACCGCCUCCCCAGACCUACAGAAUGGGAAUGGAAAUCUCCGGGUGUGGGGGUGGGGGCUGGAGGGGGUGGGCCUGGGAAUCUCUAGCUAAGAGCCUCAGGGGUUUUUUAUCAUCUGGCAAGUUUGGGAAAGCUGACUGAGAGUCAGGCCCAUCCAAUUAGCACUUAAUUGUAUCCUGCUUUAUCUUCUUCCCCAAUUAGUUCUUCUGCAUCAGUUAAGCUCCUUGGAGGCCCAGACAACAGCACUUAAUUCAGCAUUGCCCUGAGAGCUGGCAUGGUGCUGGCUAGGUGACUGGCAUUAUGGAAAACUGACUGCAUCUGCUUUAGGAAGAGAGGCAUGUCCAGAGUGGAAAUUCUGGAAGCUCCUUGCAAAACUAAUACCUGGGCUUCUGCACCUCCCCAGCUUGAUGUCUGCUCUUAUCCCUCAUCUCUGCAAAGCCAGGUGCUUCCUCUUGCUUAAAGACCAGCUCAAGGCUCUCUUAUUCCAAGAACUGACUCCAUUACCUCCAGCUAGAUAUAAGCCCAUGGGUCUGUGGAUCCUUCUGAUGUGAAUUUACCUGGAUUUCUGUUUUUCACGGACAGAGGGCUUCAGGAAAGCUCCUGGCCUGACAUGAUGCUAGGCACAUAGUAUUGCUCUUUCCUUCCUACAUCCUCUUCUAGGGAGGGCAUCUUAUCCACCUUGAACAUUCCUACCAUGGAAAACAGUGGCUUGCACAUAGCACAAGGUCAGUUAAUAUUUUGGAUUCCUACAUAAGUCUCAGAGAUGUUAAUAGGAAUUACCAUCUUGUUGCAAUGAAUGUGAGCAAGUAUGUGUUGUGCACAUAAAUUAUCCCACUCCCGCCAAAGGACUAUGUUACUCUUUUUCAAUUACCCAAGCAACUACUCCAGUGCCUUAUGCAUGAUUACCUUCUCUAAGUAUUUUCUUUCUAAAUUAAUACAAUUAUUAACUUCUCAGGGUGUGAACUGUAAAGGGGAAAAUGUGUGCUUCUCUGUUUAAAACAUUAGUAUCUUUAUUUUAAAUCUACUCCAGACUUGCCCAGACUCCUUCACUACUCAGAGUCUCUGAGCAUCGGCUUCCUUAACAUUCAAAAUGGAAAUGAUAAUAAAAACUUUGCACAUCUCUAAAAAUCUCUGAAAAAAAAAAUUUGUCACAUUGAACACAUAAAGCAAGCACUGGAUAAAUUGUAGCUGCAUGGUAUAGUACAGACAACUUGAGACAUAGAUGGAAGGCAGAGCCUAUAUUUUAUUCCUGCCAAACAAAAAUUAAAACAAAGGCAUUAUAAGAACCCAGUGUUGGUGACAUUUGUGAUGGAACAGGCACACUUAUUUUGGAGGCCUGUUUAGCAAUGCUUACCAGGAGUCAUAAAUAUUUUCAUAUACUUUUACCACCGCACAGCAGUUCUAAGAAUUACUACAGGAGAAUGAUUUUUAGAGAGGAACAAGUUAAAUAUAGGCAUCAGUGUAAUUUACAAAGGUGAAAACAAAAAGUAACCUAAAUGCACAUGAAUGGGAGCAAGGUUACAUAAAUUACAGUGCAACAAUGUAAUGGAAUAUCUCACAGCAAUUAAGAAGGCUAAAGACAAAUCCCAGGUAGAAACAUUUAGUGAUUGAAAAUAAUAAGUGUAAUGGUAAAACACAAUUUUAUGUAUACUUUGAUUAAAAUGAUUCAAAAUGAUAUAUUUACUUACAGCCGUGAAGAAAAGAAUAAAGACAUGAACAUGUUUGCUGUGUUAUAUUAGUGAAAUUAAAUUUAUUUUAUACAUGCUAUAUAUGUAUGUAUACAUGCAUGUGCGUAUGUAUGUAUACAUUUAUGUAAAUAUAUAGAUGCAUGAAUACACAUAUGUAUAUGUAAAUAUGUAUAUGUACAUAAAUGUGUAUGUACACUUAUAUAGGUGUAUAUGCAUGUACAUAUGUAUGUGUAUAUGUAUAUGUGUAUAUCUACAUAUGUAUAUGUGUAUAUAUACCUUUAUGUACAUAUAUAAAAAUAUUUUAAUUUUUAUUUUAAAUACUUUAUAUAAAAUUUACACACACAUCUAUAUCUAUAAAAGUAGAUAUAUGUAUAUAUCUGUAUACAGAUAUAUAUGUAUACAUAUAUACAUAUAUACACAUAUAUACAUAUAUACAUAUCUGUAUACAGAUAUAUAUACAUAUAUAUCUGUAUAUAUGUACAUAUAUACAUAUAUACAUAUAUAUGCAUACAUAUAUACAUAUAUGCACAUAUACACAUAUAUGUACAUAUAUGCAUAUAUAUACAUAUAUACAUAUAUACACACACAUAUAUAUAUACAUGUCUACUUUUGAAAAUCUUCCUAAUAGUUCUGCAAGGCAGGUUUUAGUACCUUGAGGAAACAGGUGACAAUAUUUUACUAAAUCACAUAUCUAACAAAAGUUAUCAUAAGCCUUCAAAUGAACCUUGGCCCACCGGCCCCCAAAUCUUUGCUUUUUAAAAUUAUUCACAAAUUGUUUUCCAAUGUGUGUACAUUUGAUGUUGGUUUCUUUUGAUAACUCAUUUCCAAUAAGACCUUAUUUUAUAUUACAACAAUGAAGAUAGAUAAAUAAAUACAUCAAAAUAUUUAUUAUGUGUACUACAUACAUUUUAUAAUUAAAAUGUGCUAGAUUGUUACCUUGUUAGCUCCAAUCAACCACCUCCCAGUAUUCACAGUUUUGUGUAGUCCCAUUUCACAUAGGCACUAGACUUGGCUAUGUGAUGUGAUGUGUUUUGGCCAAUGGGUCAUUGGCAAGCUUGAAAUAAGAACUUCAUAAGUACUUGUGAGUUAAGGUUUGUCCUGUUAGAAGCUAGUCACCAUGCUAUCAAGACACCCAAGCUAGCUGCAUGGAGAUGAUGCAGGAUUUUUCUUGAUCCCUUUGCCAGCUGGGGACCUCCAGCCAGCAAUGACCCUGCCCAGGCCUCACUUGAGCAUGCUACCUGUUGCAGGAGGUGGCCUGCCCACCCAGCCCACCUGGGCUGCACCUGAAUUGUGAACUGGCUUAGCCCGAAGCUGGGCUGGGCAUGCUCUAGCUCACCUGUGUUAUAGCUCAUACCUGUGUUCAGUGGUUCCUGAGUUCUUGUCCCGCGUCCAAGAAGAAUGAGGAUAUGCUGACAAUUGAAGGGUGAGGAGAGCAGAGAAGAAUUUUAUUGAGUGAUGGAACAGCUCUCAGCAGAGAGGGGAUGUGGGGGUAGUCCCCCACCUGAAGUUGGGUGGUUUCUCUUCCAGUGUAGCUGAAUCUGAGGCUUUUAUGGACUCAGAAUAGGGGAGUGCAUGCUGAUUGGUUUGUGAAUAUGCAAAAAUGGUUAAAACAAAGGCACCACUCAAAUGUGGGCAUGACAGUGUAAAUAAACCAAUUAGGGAAGGGUAGGUAUAUGUAAAAUAGGUGAAGGGUGAGGAUCAAUCAGAGGAAAGCAUGCCCAACAGGAAGAUAGAUUCUCAGUCUGGUCUGUGGAUUUGACUUGUAGUUAGGCUUAAACUGUCUUUGGCUUGGAGAUGGGGUUUCACCAGGGACACGCCCCUAUCUGCCUAUGCAUUUGUCUGCCUCCUGCCACUAUCAGAGAGGCCACAGAGAAGAGAAUUGAGGCUUCCCAGAAAAGAGCCCUGAUGAGGUCCCCGCUCACAAUAUGGAGAGAUCGUUUAGGAUUACCAGCCCCUUUGAAGCCUCCAGAAAAUCACAGCUCUGUUAGUAAUUUUUGUGGACUCCAUGCAAAGAAAAGAAUCAUUUAAUGAGCCCAGUCAACCCAUAGAAUCAUGAGAAAUAAUAAAUCUUUGUAGUUUCAAAGCGCUAAGUUUUGGGAUGGUUUGUUAAACAGCAAGAGAUGACCAAUAUAUCAGACCUGAAAAAUUUAAAGCACCAGGAAAAUUUUAAAGUACCAGGAAAAUUUUAAAGUACCAUCCUAGCACAUAGUAGAUGCUUAAUUAAAAUGUCUAUGAAGAAGAAGGGGUCAAUUCUGUCACUUGGCAUUCAGAUUCCCUUUUUGCUCACUAUAGCCUUCCACUUUAAGAAGAGAACCAACAUCCCUGUUGAACUGGAUUCAUCUGCAAACCAGGCCAGCAAUCCUGGCUCAGGCAGGCCUUCCAGGAGGGCAAACUGUAUAGUUCUAUAGCAAAGGGGGCAUUGUCCUUUCUGAAAUGCCAGAUCCUUUAUAAGCUGGAGAGUUACAGUCACUGUUUGGUAAUUGCCCUGCCCCCUGCUAGUGCUUCCAUUCUUGGCUCUUAUAAUAAAGUUCAGUCUCAUGCUCAUUUUUUAUCUUCCUAAAUGGGGCCUGCCAUGGAGCAGCCAUUUGUAUUACGAUCUUAGGCAACCAUGACUGUUCCCAGCCACAGCAUCCCUAAUGCCACUGCCUUAGUUCAGACCCGUAUCAUUUCUCCCCUGGAUAAUUACAACAGCCCCUAACAAGUCUCCUAGCAUUUUGGCAUACACUCCUCUAUUCCAUUCUCUGUAGCAGGCAGUAGGCCAUUUCUAAAGUACAAACUAAAUCAUUUCACCAUGCUUUUUAAAACCUUCCAAUAGGCUCCCCAUUGCCUCAAAGCAAAAUUUCUCAGACUGGAUUAAUGAGUGAGUGUUCCACAGGGUGUGGGCUAGGAAUGAGAAUAUAGUUUAACACAUUUGGGAAACCCUGGGUUAAACAUGGUUAACCAGGUAUUUUUGUGUGUUUGUUACAGGAUUUCUCAGAGCCUUUAAUAUGCUGAUGCAAAUUGUGAAUCUUAUCACAAGAGUGAUAUAAAAUCAACAUUUACCAAACUUGCUUUCUUGGCAGACUAUCUUUGGUUCCACUGAGUUGCAGUUUAGAAUUUUUCAAGUAUUUCCAAGUCCCUUAGUCUGGUAGACAAGUUUCUUCAUAAUCUGACCCCUGCUUAUUUCUUCAGCACAAGUCUCUACAUUUCUCCCAGGUCCUUGCUUCUUGACAAUUUGGUUCCUAUGUACCUGCUUUCCUUUAUCUAAAGUCAACCAUCCUGUUCUUUCAUAGCCCUGGUUAAUUCUUAUUCAUCCUUUGAAUCUCAGGUCAGUCUUCUCUCCUCUGGGAAAUCUUAUCCUAUCCCCACCAUACCUCAUCCCACCCCACCCUCCCUUGGGCUGAGUUAUACAUUCACCCUAUGACAUCCCAUGCUUUUUCCUAUUAUAUUAACUUUCACACAACCUUAGAGUUUCCUGCUUGUCUCUCCUUGUAGAUUGCAUGUUCCUUUGGGCAGGGCUGUCAGCAGGGCACUUAGUGUGCAUUCAGUAAGUGUUUCUUGAGUAAAUGAGUACUGAGAAAUAGAAUGCAUUUUGUGAAAACAGUUGUUGACUAAGAAUUUUCUGAAUGCAGUCACACUGAUAGUAGAUACCUUUUCAGGUGCCAAUCCAUCUAUGGUGUAAACAUGUCUCUUAUACUGACCAUACUCUACAGGUGUUCUCUGUGAUACUAUCUCCUGGGACCAUUUAAAUUCACAUGAAGAAAACUGAGCCGACCUGACUCAUUCUCUGAGGAUUCGAACUUAGGAAUUGUUAGAAGUUUAUUCAAACUGCAGAAUCAUAAACUGCAGAGCUCUGGUGGCCGUUUUGUGUAUGAGUAAAUGGGAGCGAUGGAAGCAGUUCUGUAGAAAGAGAGGGAGAGAAGUGAAGGGCAUUGGGCUACAGAUGUUCCUCGAUGUCCCAAUAAACCCAUCAUAGAGUUGCAUGAUGUUGAAAAUAUUCUAAGUCACAAAUACAUUUAAUACACCUAACCUACUGAACAUCAUAACUUAGCGUGCCUUCAGUGUGCUCAGAACACUUAGAUUAGCUUACAUUUGGGCAAAAUCAUCUAUUUAACACAAAGCCUAUUUUAUAAUAAAAUAUUGAAUAGCUCAUGUAAUUUAUUGAAAACUAUACUAAAAGUGAAAAACAGAAUGGUUGCAUGGGUACCUGAAAUAUGGUUUCUACCAAAUGUGUAUUGCCUUUGCAACCAUCUUAAGUCAAACCAUCAUAAGCUGGGAACUGUCUGUAUUUAGAAAAAAGCAAAGAUGGAGAGGUAUUCCUAACCCCCUGGGUUCCUAAUUUCUCACAGAUUUCUCAUUUCAGCACUAGCUGAGGUCUGGCUAUCAGCCUGUCACAGAGUUAGGAGUAUGUCAUCACAGUGAUUUUUCUUUCCCCUCCUCCAGCCUAUUUGAAGGAGGCCCUGUUAUGUGUUACCAAUAGGGUCUUUACUAAGCAAUGUCUAGUUUUUUUCCUUGAAAAACUUGAAAUGUGAAUGGCUCUCUCAACAUGCUUCUCUUUGUAACAGCCACAUUGUGAAUAUUAAUGGCAGUACUUAAGCAGGUCGAUUGUGCACUGAGAAUAUGAAAUAUGCAUGUCACUUAAAAACAAAUGAUUGUCCAUACAGUGCUUGGGCUGAAUUAUUCUCCCUCAGGUUGUCACACCUGAUGCAGAGGGAAGCUAAGGCAAUGCAUCUGUGCCAGACUUUAUAGAUCCCAAGGUCAGGAUCAAAAUGUGCAGAUUCAGGAAGAUGCUUUUUCACUAAUGAUUUGUUACCGUUAACUUGACGCACUGGGUGGAUUUAUAUAGAGAAAAAUGUUAAUAAAAUGUUCUUCGAGCUACAUUUCUGCUUUGCUGAGUUGUCAUUCCAUUAAGCAAAUUUGAGGCAAUGUAAUUGCUAUAAGAUUCUACAUAUUUGCAAAUGAAUUUGUGAGUUUAUUUGGGAAAUGAAUGGGUUUUAACUUGGCUUGUUGGACUAAUUUUAUUUUGCUGUUUCCAGGAGAUGUCCUAGCGAG